AGAGUUUGAUCAUGGCUCAGGAUGAACGCUAGCGACAGGCUUAACACAUGCAAGUCGAGGGGCAGCGAGGGAGUGGCAACACUUCCGUCGGCGACCGGCGCACGGGUGAGUAACGCGUAUGCAACCUGCCCUUCACAGGGGGAUAACCGGGAGAAAUUCCGACUAAUACCGCAUACGUCCUCCGGGGGCAUCCCCGGGGGAUGAAAGAAUUAUCGGUGAAGGAUGGGCAUGCGUGAUAUUAGGUAGUUGGCGGGGCAACGGCCCACCAAGCCCACGGAUAUCUGGGGGUUCUGAGAGGAAGGUCCCCCAGAUUGGUACUGAGACACGGACCAAACUCCUACGGGAGGCA
rnacentral:rRNA from 1 species